ACGGGGUGCAGCAGGCGCGAAACCUCUACAAUGCGCGAAAGCGUGAUAGGGGGACUCCAAGUGGUCACCUUUGGUGACCUUUUCUCAAGUGUAAAUAGCUUGGGGAAUAAGAGCUGGGCAAGACCCGUGCCAGCCGCCGCGGUAAUACGGGCAGCUCUAGUGGUGUUCGCGAAUACUGGGCCUAAAACGUUCGUAGCCGGUCCGAUAAGUUCUUGGUGAAAUCCGCCCGCUUAACGGUCGGAACUGCCAAGGAAACUAUUGGACUUGGAGCCGGGAUAGGUAGGAGGAAUGUCCAGGGUAGGAGCGAAAUCCUGUAAUCCUGUACAGACCAUCGGUGGCGAAGGCGUCCUACUGGAACGGACUCGACGGUGAGGAACGAAAGCUAGGGGGGCGACCCGGAUUAGAUACCCGGUUAGUCCUAGCCGUAAAUGAUGCAAGUUUGGUGUCGCGCUACUUACGAGGUAGUGCGGUGCCGUAGGGAAGCCGUAAACUUGCUGCCUGGAAGUACGCCGCAAG
rnacentral:rRNA from 1 species